AACGCACAUUGCGCCCCCUGGUAUUCCGGCGGGCAUGCUUGUUCGAGCGUCAUUUCUAUCCUCAAGCUCUGCUUGGUAUUGGGCGGCAAGCCUUUAUCCCCCUGGGGAGUAGGCUCCCCCAAAAAUCAGCGGCGGAUCGGCCGGGGUCCCAGCGCAGUGACUUUUAUUCUCGCUGAUUGGAUCCCCGGGCGGCUCCUGCCGGACAAGCCCAAUUAUUCUAUCAAGAUUGACCUCGGAUCAAGUAAGGAUACCCGCUGAACUUAA
rnacentral:misc_RNA from 1 species